CUUGGCACGGUGCUGCCCGGCGCACGUGGCGCCGCUGGACCCGUGCCACCCGGCGUGCCCGGUUCCAUCCCGGCUGCCUCCGUUCGGGAUGACGUAACCCCGGCCGCGGUUGCCUCAGAAGGAAGGAUCCAGGCUCGGGAUGAACCCAUCCCCCGGCCGCACCUGCCCGGUGGGACAAGAUCCAGAAAAAAUCCUUCCCCUGUUCCGGCCACGCACCCGGCAGGAGCCGCGGCCUCCCCGCCCCAUCCCUGCCCCGCCAGGAUUUUGGGAAGGGGAAGAUCAGCUCCGUGCCAUGGCAGCGACCCGAGCCGCCGGGUGACGGGCGGAGGAGGUGGCUGAGGAUGCGAGGAUGGGAAAUCCGUGCUCGGGAUGCUCCCGCCUCGCACAUCAUCCCCUCUCCAUCACCCCGGAGCUGCAAACCAGUUUAUACAUCACCCGGCUCCAGCGCUACCAGAGCUCCUGUUGAAUAUCCCAGCGGAGAGGAGAAAUUCCUGCUGGGAGUUCUCUCCGGCGUCACCCUCGGGAGGGGGGACGGAGGGCGGGCAAAGUUCGGCUCCUAUAAAGUCAGGUCUGGUCCUCUUCAUUCAUUCCCCUGGCAGCACCGCCGGCAGCAGCACGUCCAGCCUUUGCAGAAAAUCUGGGAGCAGCAAAUCCUGCCCCGAAGCCGGCGGAUUUCUGCAGGAUGCCGAGGAGAGCGAUGCCGAAGGCGCUGCGCGGCGUCGGGGCCGCCCUCACCUGCCUGCAGCUCCUGCUGCUCCCCUCGGCCGUGGAUUCCCGGCCCCGCACGUGGGACCAGGACAGGUUCCAGCUGGAAGCCGUCAAAAAGGAGAUCCUGGAGCGGCUGGGAAUGCCGGCUCCCCCCGUCAUCCGGCGCCAGCUGGACCAGGAGAGCAUCCAGAGAGCGCAGCGCCUCUACCAGCGCAAAGUGGCGGAGCUGGCGGGGAACCGGAGCCGGGAGGAGGAGGAAGAGGAGGAAGCCGUGACCAGGACCCGGCGGCUGCACCGCCUGACCCCCACCUGUGAGUGGCCGUGGCUCCGUGUCACCCCCCGAGCCUCGUCCCACGGGACACGCGUGUGUCGCAGCGCGUCCCCGCCUCGGGAAUGUCACCCCGCUACAGGGGACAUGACCGGGCAUGCAGCACGGUGGCCACGCUCAUCCUUAUCCCGCUCCUUCCUUCGCCCUGGAAGUGGGGAGGAGCCGCAGCUGGAGCCGUUUUGCUUAAAAC
ensembl:lncRNA